AUGCAUGAAAAGGCCCCAGGGCUCCACACACCAACUCAGGAGGCUGAGGAGGUCACAUCCUGUGAGUUUCCCACCAUGGCCUGGAUGAUUCUUCUGCUCAGUCUCCUCUCCUAUGAGUCAGGGGUGGAUUCCCAGACAGUGGUGAUCCAGGAGCCAUCACUUUCUGUAUUGCCAGGAGAGACUGCGACCAUCACUUUUGGCCUCAGCACAGGGUCAGUCUCUACGGGUAACUACCCAAGCUGGUACCAGCAGAUACCAGGCCAUGCUCCCCGUGGUAUUAUAGAUAGCACAAAUAACCGACCCUCUGGGAUCCCUGAUCACUUCUCUGGAUCCAUCUCUGGGAACAAAGCCGUCCUCACCAUCACGAGGGCUCUUACAGAGGAUGAAGCUGAGUAUUAUUGCUUUCUGUACCUGAGCAGUGGCCCUUACACAGUGAUGUGA